UGCAAGUCGAACGAGACAAAGUUUGUAGCAAUACAAAUUUUGUUUAGUGGCGCACGGGUGCGUAACACGUGAGCAAUCUGCCGGGAAGUGGGGGAUAGCUCGCCGAAAGGCGAAUUAAUACCGCAUGUGGCCAGGAGGAUCAUUUCUCCGAAGCCAAAGUAGCAAUACGCUUCCUGAUGAGCUCGCGGCCUAUCAGCUAGAUGGCGGGGUAACGGCCCACCAUGGCUAUGACGGGUAGCUGGUCUGAGAGGACGACCAGCCACACUGGAACUGAGACACGGUCCAGACACCUACGGGUGGCAGCAGUCGAGAAUUUUUCACAAUGGGGGAAACCCUGAUGGAGCGACGCCGCGUGGAGGACGAAGGCCUUCGGGUUGUAAGCUCCUGUCAUGCGGGAACAAGAAAGUGAUAGUACCGCAAGAGGAAGAGACGGCUAACUCUGUGCCAGCAGCCGCGGUAAUACAGAGGUCUCAAGCGUUGUUCGGAUUCAUUGGGCGUAAAGGGUGCGUAGGUGGCGAUGUAAGUCUGGUGUGAAAUCUCGGGGCUCAACCUCGAAAUUGCAUUGGAUACUGCGUUGCUUGAGGAUUGUAGAGGAGAGUGGAAUUCACGGUGUAGCAGUGAAAUGCGUAGAUAUCGUGAGGAAGACCAGUUGCGAAGGCGACUCUCUGGGCAAUUCCUGACACUGAGGCACGAAGGCCAGGGGAGCAAACGGGAUUAGAUACCCCGGUAGUCCUGGCAGUAAACGGUGCACGUUUGGUGUGGGCGGGUUCAGACCCCGUCCGUGCCGGAGCUAACGCGUUAAACGUGCCGCCUGGGAAGUACGGUCGCAAGAUUAAAACUCAAAGAAAUUGACGGGGGCCCGCACA
rnacentral:rRNA from 1 species